CCUACGGGAGGCAGCAGUGAGGAAUAUUGGUCAAUGGACGAGAGUCUGAACCAGCCAAGUAGCGUGAAGGAUGACUGCCCUAUGGGUUGUAAACUUCUUUUAUAUGGGAAUAAAACGUUCCACUUGUGGGAUUUUGUAUGUACCAUGUGAAUAAGGAUCGGCUAAAUCCGUGCCAGCAGCCGCGGUAAUACGGAGGAUCCGAGCGUUAUCCGGAUUUAUUGGGUUUAAAGGGAGCGUAGGUGGAUUGUUAAGUCAGUUGUGAAAGUUUGCGGCUCAACCGUAAAAUUGCAGUUGAAACUGGAAGUCUUGAGUACAGGAGAGGUGGGCGGAAUUCGUGGUGUAGCGGUGAAAUGCUUAGAUAUCACGAAGAACUCCGAUUGCGAAGGCAGUUCACUGGACUGCAACUGACACUGAGGCUCGAAAGUGUGGGUAUCAAACAGGAUUAGAUACCCGUGUAGUC
rnacentral:rRNA from 1 species